UUGCGUCCAUAUCAUGCUGAGAACAUCGGUUCCCGUGUGAUCACAGAAGUUAAGCAACGCCGAGCCUGGUUAGUACCUAGACGGGUUAUCGAUUGGGAAUCCCAUGUGCUGUAUG